UUCUGGCUGCUCAUUGCGCCACGUUCCCACUGGAAGGGUGGGCAUUUCGCGACACGUGUCGCAUCCUCAGUGCUCUAUUAUUUUUUUGUCGUGCGUUUUGGUUUCAGAUUCGGAAUAGGGCCCAAGCCCAUCACCAAAGAAACCCCUACCGAAUUAGGUCGUCAAUUCGUCUUCCUCAUCUCGCUGCGAUCUCCCAGAAGUUCAAAUCUACCUUCUCGACUUCACUCCACUAUUCAGUAUAUAUACAUCGCUUGAAAACAAUUGAAGGCUGGUUGUUGUUGACAAGGCUCCUUCGAUUUUGAGAAGCCAAAUCGAAGCCCAGAAUGUUAAGAAAGGGAGUGAACUGAUCUGUUUUGCUAUGGUCCUUAUUGAUUCGAAGGCUACGGAGCUAAGCGUUCUCGAUAUUGCAUGAAGCAAUCCAACCUUCAAGGUUGCUGAAGCCCAUGUGUCAAUUAGAUUCACAGACCAAACUGUGAACUGCUCCCCAAGGAGUGUUUUUAGGUUUCAAAAAUACGAGCAGCUCAUGUCAGUAGCCAAUACAGAAACUUAUUUCCAGAUAACGUUGGAGAAAUGAGGCGUUCAAACCAUCUACAACUAAAAGACUCAGAGCACUCAACGCCUUCACAGGGAGGCUGUUUCUGGACGCUACACCGGGAACGAAUUAUAUCUUGACAACAAGCGUGGAGUGAGCAAUAGCUUUCUCAAAAAACAUUCUUGACUAGGUCAUUGCAAUCAAGAGCACAAUCAACGGCGGUACACAUGGGAUACAGCGUGUAAUUCUGACUCUGCGUCUACAAUGGAAGCCUCAACAGUUUAAAAUCCAUUGUUUGUAACUUUUUACAACUUUGUAUGGUAUCUUAUUCUCCAAGAAUUUCAUCUUCA